rnacentral:rRNA from 1 species
CCUAACACAUGCAAGUCGAGCGGUAGCACAGGGGAGCUUGCUCCCUGGGUGACGAGCGGCGGACGGGUGAGUAAUGUCUGGGAAACUGCCUGAUGGAGGGGGAUAACUACUGGAAACGGUAGCUAAUACCGCAUAACGUCGCAAGACCAAAGAGGGGGACCUUCGGGCCUCUUGCCAUCAGAUGUGCCCAGAUGGGAUUAGCUAGUAUGUGGGGUAAUGGCUCACCUAGGCGACGAUCCCUAGCUGGUCUGAGAGGAUGACCAGCCACACUGGAACUGAGACACGGUCCAGACUCCUACGGGAGGCAGCAGUGGGGAAUAUUGCACAAUGGGCGCAAGCCUGAUGCAGCCAUGCCGCGUGUGUGAAGAAGGCCUUCGGGUUGUAAAGCACUUUCAGCGAGGAGGAAGGUGGUGAACUUAAUACGUUCAUCAAUUGGCGUUACUCGCAGAAGAAGCACCGGCUAACUCCGUGCCAGCAGCCGCGGUAAUACGGAGGGUGCAAGCGUUAAUCGGAAUUACUGGGCGUAAAGCGCACGCAGGCGGUUUGUUAAGUCAGAUGUGAAAUCCCCGGCUCAACCUGAGAACUGCAUUUGAAACUGGCAAGCUAGAGUCUCGUAGAGGGGGGUAGAAUUCCAGGUGUAGCGGUGAAAUGCGUAGA